rnacentral:rRNA from 1 species
AUUGAACGCUGGCGGCAUGCCUUACACAUGCAAGUCGAACGGCAGCACGGGUGCUUGCACCUGGUGGCGAGUGGCGAACGGGUGAGUAAUACAUCGGAACGUACCUUAUCGUGGGGGAUAACGCAGCGAAAGUUGCGCUAAUACCGCAUACGCCCUGAGGGGGAAAGCGGGGGACCGUAAGGCCUCGCGCGAUUAGAGCGGCCGAUGUCUGAUUAGCUUGUUGGUGAGGUAAAAGCUCACCAAGGCGAUGAUCAGUAGCUGGUCUGAGAGGACGAUCAGCCACACUAGGACUGAGACACGGCCCAGACUCCUACGGGAGGCAGCAGUGGGGAAUUUUGGACAAUGGGGGCAACCCUGAUCCAGCAAUGCCGCGUGAGUGAAGAAGGCCUUCGGGUUGUAAAGCUCUUUUGUCAGGGAAGAAACAGCAGCUCUAAUACAGUCUGCGAAUGACGGUACCUGAAGAAUAAGCACCGGCUAGCUACGUGCCAGCAGCCGCAGUAA